rnacentral:lncRNA from 1 species
GGAGAUACUGACCUGAUGUUGAGCUAUGGCUUCCUACCAUUAACAAGCAUUAACCUGACAAGGAUGUGAGUGAGACACCUUGGAAGUCCAUCCUCCAGUCCCAGUCAAGUCUUUAGAUGACUACAGCCUCAGCUGAGAAUCUGAGCAUAAUAUCAUGAGAGUCUUGAAGCUAGAAAUACUCAGCCAAGCUGCUUCUGAAUUCCUAACUCACAAAAACUUAUAUUGAGGAUGACUGCACCACCCAGGAAAGCCCAAGAUUACUCUUCAAUGGAAUGGAAAGGUGUCUAGGAUCAUGGGUGGUAAGAAUCAGACUUCCACAUGGCAAUGCUGACUAUCAGGUAAGGAGAUCAAUAUG